rnacentral:lncRNA from 1 species
GUCACUGAAGUCAGUAUCUGUAUCUGUAUUUCAAACUUCUGAACAUGGAUGGGUAUGCCGUUAAUUCAUUUUGGCUAUUGUUUGAUUGGUGGAUCUGCGCAUAAAUAAGUCAUGCUUGCUGAGGUGUGCUCAUUUAAACCCAGUGGUUCAGGAUAUUUUGUAAGAUUCACCAUAUCACUAAUCCUGGCUGAGCCGGCUGCUUGAACUUUUCAUGCAUAUAACAAUCACUUUUCCAUGGUGGCGUCAUAUAUUUUGUUUUAUGACGUCAAAAUUUUACGGGAAAUUUU